rnacentral:lncRNA from 1 species
GGCACGAUUCCUUCCCUGCGGAUCUGGCGGGGGAGCAGAGGAGGGAGCAGCCCUGCCCGGAGUCUCAGGCUCCCGCCAGCCCCGAUCCCGGGCGACUGCGCCGAGCGCCUCCGGAGUCGCGGGAAGCUCCUCCUGCUCCGUGGCUGGCGCCAGUUGCACGGUGGCCGCCCCCAAAUUCGAGGGGGAAGGUGCAAAGUGGUGGGAGGCUGCGGGUCUCCCGGAGGGUGAGGCGUUGGGGACCAGGCGGGAGCACAGCCGAACCCCUACCUUUCGGGCGGGGCGGACACCAGCCGCGCGCCCUCGCCGGGCGCCGGGACCGGAAAAUCACCGCGAAGGGAGGGACGAGGAAAGGCGGCGGGUGGCUUCAGGACAAGCUGUGAGAUAUCGGUGGGCGAGGAUGUGAUGCCUGAAGAUGUGGCAUCUACCUUGAAACAGUCAAGGACCUGAGGAUGAAGCCAGCGUCUGAGGAAUAUAGACAGAAAGGAUCUAGAUACAUCAUGAGUCUAGGGAAGAAUAUCAAGUUAAACUUUAUGAAGUCCAAGACAAUGGGAAAAGAAGAGGUGUUCCUGUCCAGGCCCUCUUCCAGUUAGAAGGUGAUGGUUUCCAGAAGUCUGCACCUGUAUUUCAAUUACCUAUAAUGGAGUUUAUAGGACUAAACUAUAUUCACUAUAUUUUCUUAUUUUCGUGUGUGUGUUUGAUGUGCUGGCAACUGGGGACUUGGUAACUGGGGAGGGAUAGCUCUUCUCAGGAAGAGCUAAUUCUUAGAGAUAGAGGGAGCAUGCUUUUCAUAUGCAAACUACUCAAACUGGAGUCCACACUUCCCCAACCUCCUCUAUAGGAUUCGUACUCUCCUGCCCGAUAUUCCCUUGCUCUAAUCAUCUUGGGGCCAGGUACCAGGCAACUCAGGACGGCCACUACACCUCCAGAGCCCACUGACAUUAUUAAAACUAGACAAUUCUAAGCUGCUUGCCCUACCUUGACCUUAUUCCUUUUGUUGCAAAACGCAAUAAAGGGUCUUGCCACAUUUUCCUACUGCUCCCUCUGCCUCUGGACUGACCCUGGUGCUUUCCUUUGUGGGCCUUCGUGGCUUACCUCCUGUUUCUAGGAACCUGCAAGUGUAAAAACUUCUUUCUUCAUGACAGUCAUUUCCAUGUCUGCGUGCCUUACUAUACCUGAUUUAAACAAAUCCUGAGCACAUUUUAAAACAAAUUCAACAGCUGGACCUGCUAUGCAGAGCAGUUCAGGCGGAGGGAAUGGCUCAUGCACACUCUCCAAGUACUGUUAGGUAUGAGUUCUAAAUUUCUCUUCAAAGAAUCAAUAUGUCAGUAUGUUCAGUUCUUUGCCUUCUACUGUUAAACUUAACUUCCUCGUAAAGCAACCUUUUUCCAUUACCUGCUCCACCCUGACUCAUUCCGAUUACCUGCUCAUUCUCCACCCUGGCUUACUCUGAUUUCCUGCUCUGCCGUAACCAUUUUUUCCCACCAAACCACUCACCCUGUCACUCUUUAAAUUAGCCAAUUGGAAUUAGUUUAGCCUGUGCAGUCUAACCCAAGCCAAUAGGGGAACGAUACAGCAGCAGGGACCACGUGCCUCAGGGAUAAGAACCCCUUCCCCUCCCUUGUCCAAGUGUGCGCUCACCAUUGCUCCAUCUGUAAGGGUGCACCCUUCUAUAGAAGUACGUUGUCUUGCUGAGAA